UCACCUAUCCAACUCUCUAUCAACUCUCCCCUAACCCUAAUCGCCAUCAUCAGCGAGAAGCUUCUAUCUAUGGAGUUAUUGUGCAUUUUUCGAUCAUUACCAACCUGCUAUGCCUCCUGGCUGUUUGAUUCCAUAGAUCCUUGAGAAAAUCUAAUGGAGAUCCAACCUGUUCUUACCUGAAACUUGUUUACAGGCCUGUCUAGGGCCAUUCUCGUUUGUGAGUACUGAUCUUCCUCUUAUUUUUAGUUCAAACCUUUGGUUCUUGACCAAGUUUUCUUCAUAUCUACUAUUUUUUGAAAACUCUAGUUCCAUGACCAAUGGGUCUGUUCAGAUCCUCGUAGAUCUGAAGUGUUAUGAGUUCUAUUUGGUACUUUUUCUUCAAAAAUCUUUUGUUUUGCUAAUGUUAUUUUGAUUCCGUUAUUUUCUGAGAUUCAGGGUUCGUCCAGGUUUUCUUCAAAAGGUUUUUUACUUUCAAGUAUUUAAAUUAAUAGUUUCUUUACAUGUUUGAUUAAUUUUUGUAUAUGUGCUUAAACCCUAGAUGUUCUUGUUGGUGACACUGAUUUCUUCAAUUUUUUCCGUCAUUAUGUUUAUUUCUGUUAACCAGUUGUAUUAAUUGAUUAUAUCUUCAGUCUUGAACAACUUUUCUGUUAAAACCAGCAUUCUCUGUGAUUUUUUACUUAAUUGAUUUCUAUUAGGGAGUUGAACCAAUUCUUCCCCUUAAAAUCGGUACUUUUUCGUGAUUUACCUAUUUUCCUUAUUUCUGAAUUAGAACUACUUGCCUUAAUUAGACUAUUAGUCUGAUUUAGGGAUUUAAUUGACUCAUAUAUGGUAUAUGAUUGCUUUGUUUACCCUAUUUGAAGCUCAAUUUGAAUUGUUAAGGGAUUCUCCCCAAUUUAAGGGUGUCCUUUCCGGAUUCUUCUGUGGGAAUUGAUCAAGUUAAAUCCCCAAUUAACUGAUUGAUUUAUUUGAUUACCAUGUUGCUUUGUAGGCCCCAUCUCCAUUAAAGUAUUAGCCAGUUCUUCUUUCCGCCGAUUAGAUUUGUGGAAUCCAACCUUAAAGGGAAACUCUACUCUAUGAAUCCUAUAAGAAGAGAGGUUGCAUGGGAAAUGGAGAACCUUUCUGGCAAUACAGAUUCCGUAUACAAAAUGCUCGGAAGAAACCUUCGAUCUCCAAUCCCACGUGGAAAUUGCCCUUUUAUAAACUCUGAUUUACCUUAUUUGUCCUACCUUACUAAGUGCUAUAUAAACUUUCAUUCUGACUUUUUAAAAUAGAACGAACAACAGUUCAAAG
rnacentral:lncRNA from 1 species